GGUUUCUCUGUGUAGUCUUGGCUGUCCUGGAACUCACUCUGUAGACCAGGCUGGCCUUGAACUCACAGAGAUCCACCUGCCUCUGCCUCCCCGAGUGCUGGGAUUAAAGGCAUGCGCCACCA
rnacentral:miRNA from 1 species